CCAAUAGCGUAUAUUAAAGUUGUUGCAGUUAAAAAGCUCGUAGUUGAAUUUCGGGGUUAGUAGGUUGGUCAUGCCUCUGGUAUGUACUGGUCUCACUGAUUCCUCCUUCCUGAUGAACCGUAAUGCCAUUAAUUUGGUGUUAUGGGGAAUUUGGACUGUUACUUUGAAAAAAUUAGAGUGUUUAAAGCAGGCUAACGCUUGAAUACAUUAGCAUGGAAUAAUGAAAUAGGACGUUCGAUCCUAUUUUGUUGGUUUCUAGGAUUGACGUAAUGAUUAAUAGGGAUAGUUGGGGGCAUUAGUAUUCAAUUGUCAGAGGUGAAAUUCUUGGAUUUAUUGAAGACUAACUACUGCGAAAGCAUUUGCCAAGGAUGUUUUCAUUAAUCAAGAACGAAAGUUAGGGGAUCGAAGACGAUCAGAUACCGUCGUAGUCUUAACCAUAAACUAUGCCGACUAGGGAUCGGAUGAUGUUAAUUUUUUAAUGACUCAUUCGGCGCCUUACG
rnacentral:rRNA from 1 species